GAAAAGGCUGGAAAACACCAAAAGAACCCCGUUUUGAGCGCUUUGACUUUCAAAGUCUGAAUCUGGGUGAAUAUUACCCAAAAAUCCUUCAAAACCCGAAAGAAACUCCAAAAACUUUCGGUUUUUUCUUUUGGGUUUCAAAAGCCCUAAAAACCACCAAAUUCUCCAUCCACAGUGGCGGAGUACAAAUGUUCGGCGACGGUGGCAGAGGAGUGGUUGAUGGUAGCAAAGGCUAGGAGCAGUGGCAACAUUAGGCUAGGGUGCGGCUAGGGGUUUUUUUUCUGUUUAGGUUUUGGGCCUAUUGGGCUGCUAGGUUUUUAUUAUUAUUUGGGCCUACUUUUUUUGUAAUUGAGCUACCCUUGUAAUUUGGACUUGGACGGUUGUUUAUUAUUUUUUAUUUUUAUUUUGGUUUUAUUUAUUAUUUAUUUUUUUUGUAUUUGGGUUUCUGUUUGGGUCUGGACGAAAUUGGCCCAUUACAGUCGAUGAAGUGCAUUACCAUAAAUUCUUUAAUUAACAUAUCAUAUUGCUUUCUCA